UUUGGUAAACUAAAGGUUAGGCCUAUAUUUCGGCUAUAGAUUUUGGACGAUGUCCUACCAAAU
rnacentral:tRNA from 1 species